GCUGUAGCUCAUUGGUAGAGCAUCUGCUUUGCAUACAGAAGAUUCCCAGUUCAAUCUCUAGCAUCUGCA